rnacentral:rRNA from 1 species
GGCCGCGGGAAUUCGAUUCAGGCCUAACACAUGCAAGUCGAGCGAGAACUUCGGAAGUUGCGAUUUAUCAAGACAGAAGAAGGGAAAGCGGCGGACGGGUGAGUAACGCGUAGGCAACCUGCCCCUGGCAGAGGGAUAGCCAUUGGAAACGAUGAUUAAAACCUCAUAACGCCGGAAGCACACAUGUGCAUCCGGCCAAAGAUUUAUCGGCUGGGGAUGGGCCUGCGUCUGAUUAACUGGUUGGUGAGGUAACGGCUCACCAAGGUAACGAUCAGUAGCCGACCUGAGAGGGUGAUCGGCCACAUUGGAACUGAGACACGGUCCAAACUUCUACGGAAGGCAGCAGUAAGGAAUCUUGCACAAAGGGGGAAACCCUGAUGCAGCAACGCCGCGUGAACGAUGAAGGGCUUCGGGUUGUAAAGUUCUGAUCUGGGAAGAAGGAA